rnacentral:tRNA from 1 species
GGCUCUGUGGCGCAAUGGAUAGCGCAUUGGACUUCUAGUUGAUUAAGUUAUUCAAAGGUUGUGGGUUCGAGUCCCACCAGAGUCG